CCCACCCCCGAGCACCCACGGGCCGGGCUGCUGAGGGCCACCCCAUGGAGGGGCCCGGCCGAAGCCACUCCUCGGCCCUGAUUUUAGCGUCCUCUGAAGUCAGCCAGAGGUUCAGCUGAGAGAUGGCCUCAGGGGCUUAAACACAAAACCCAGAACCAAACCAACUAUCGCUUGCUGGAAAUCACUCCCUGGGACGCUCACACGCUGGCGCCGUGGGCCGUUCGGAAGCCCUCAUACGGCUGCCGGGCCGCGAGCACCUGUGCCCUGCCGCCCCCCACCCCCAGGGAGCCCCUGUCUGGUGAUCCCUCUGCUUCCCACUGGGGGGGACGCUGACCACUACCCACGUAGCGCCUCCUGGCUGACCGGCCUCGGGGAAGGGAUGGGCUCCGGGGACCGAGGUCCUCCCAGCUCAGGGCCACAGGGACAAGACGGAGACGGAGAACUGAGCAGGCCGCUGUGGGACACAUUUCCACAGCAAAGCAGCCAAGGAUGCCAGGAGCUGCUUCUGUUUGUGCAGGAAUGGACUCUUCCCUUUAGGGUCACUGUGGAUUUUGUGGCCCACGAGAUGAACCUCAGGCUGGUGGUUUCACUCAACCCGAUCUUGUGGCACCAAAAGGAAAAAAACCCCUUUCUCCUUGGUACCCUCCAAGCUGGGACCUAGCCCGGGGCCCACCCGAGUCCCUCCUUCCUGCUGAUUACCUGUAGAGCCCUCAGACCCGAAAGGGCUGGAGAGCGAAAGGAUGUGUCCAGACAAGUCAGAGAAUGGUGAGCAACCUGCGGGUGCACGGUCCCCAUUCCCCAAGCCACUCUCAGGGACACAAGGUCACUCUCCAAAGUGCCCUAAGACCCAACAUACACCAUGGGCCUGGCUGAUAGGAAACCUGGUCCAGGAAAUGCCGGCUUGGCUCUUGACCUCUCCCCCUAAAUGCAUCAACCCCUGGACUUCACCGACACGUGCUUCCCAAGAUCACCCUGACUGGAAGCAACCCACUGGUGGCCUCCAGCACGUGUCCCCGCUGCUCUGCGCCUGGAGUCCGUGGCCUCUGGUGUCAGAGACAUGCGGGCUCAGGAAGAGAAGUGCUUCCCCCAAGGCCUUGGAUGAGCCCAGAGGGGUGAGCUCUGACCAGCUCGGGGCUACAGGACAAGACCAAGAGCCAGGCCUGGCCGACGUGUCUGUUCGGUACGCUGCGUCUCUCACAGCCAGUCUCCACCA